AUCGGGAGGAACAGCUUCUCUUAGAGAAGACUUUACUGCCCACUUGGAACCAUCUGAGUCCCUUGUCCUAAAAGUACCUGGGAAUUCUAGAUGUCUGUAAACAGGUUACUGUGACCUAUGGAGAGUCACUGAAGAUGGCUCUGGGCCACGUUGAAAGUGGCAGGUGGUCACAGGGGAAGCCAGAACACGGGCUUGUGGGUGCUGUUCAAUGGCUCUCUAUUUCCCACCAUCUGCCUGGCAGAAUCGGCGGAGAGGGCUGUGACUUCCUCCUCCAGGCUUUAAGAGGAGGAAGCUGAGUCUUGGAAGGACAAGGUGGCUUCCCAAAGUGACACAGCCUGUGAGUGCAGCUGCUGGUCUGCUCCCUGCAUGGAGGGUUGGAUGUAGCGAGACUGUGGCGGCAGCAUGCAUGUCUUUGACCCGAAGAAAAGCUGGUGUCCUUCAUCCUCAUACACAGAUUGGUGUUUCAGAAGGAAGAAAAGAUGUGUAUACAGUAGAAACCCUCAGAUCUGACACUGGAGAGGGACAGUUGGCCAUUUAUAUUUAAGCCAAAAGCAGAAAACCAUUAAAAUGAAACAUAUAUAAUUUUAUUAUCCAUAUGAAACAUUCAAAUUUGCAUUGGUUUACUGAGAACUUUUCUUUAAGAUAAGCAUUGUUUCUCCUUCUCCUCCUCAUCCUUCUUCUUCUUUCUUCUUUUUCUUCCUCCUCCUCCUCCUUCUUCUUCUUUUACUAACGCAACUCAGCUUUAUCUUUUCUUUUCACAGCAUUCAAUUUAGCUUUCACAGUCACAAGAAGUCUUUCUUUUUGCAUUUAUAGUUGAUCAGUGUAUUUAAUUGCAAUAAUAAGUGCGAUUGAUAUAAACAGGUUUGGGAACAAUAUACAUAACCUACUCCUGCGAAGUGUGUGGCUCACCAGAACACCAGAAGAGAGUGGCUCCGCCCCAGCCCCUGCCAGCUGUGUCUCAGAGCACCCAGAGUGCCACCCACAGGCUUUGCAGAGGUUACAGGGCGGGCGUGUCAGUUAACCCAGCCAAUAGGUUAAGUCGGAUUCAUUUAAAAGAGCCCCUACUGAUAGAAGCACACACAGCACAUAUUUGUGUAUGCCAGACACUUGCCGUGAAUGAAAUGCUUGUGUGCAAAUGAUUUUGCUUUUCUUAUUUUUCUUUUCUUCUGGCUCAACCUCUUCUGAAGACUGCUUCUAAUUUGAACUGGUUCAGUAGGAUUUUAAAAAACAACUUUGAUUUUGUUUUCAGUGCAGUGAAAAAAUUAAUACUUGGGUUGAGUUCCAAGUUCAGACAAUUCGUGUAGUCUAUUUCGGUUUGUGAGUCAUGUUAUCCUGGUCCACGUUACUCACAGUGAGGAAUGAUUCUAGACCAGGGCUUUUUUCUUCUAGCUCAGAGUCUGAAAAUGCCUUGGGUCUCUUUUGUCCUGAACCAUUCUUGCUCUAAGCAAACCCUGAAGUGAUGCUUUUUGGGGACCAAAAAUCAUUAACAGGAAGAGACUUGCAUGAAACCCCACUGUUUCUUGAUUCUGAUGCCAAACAUGGUCAUCACACUACUGGCUAGGCAGCUCUUGUAAAUCACUAGCUCCUCUCACAGAAAUGCCAACAAAACAUAUCGUCCCUCCCUGCUGCAGGCCUGUUUGCUAAGCAGAGGCCCAAUCCUGCCACGAAAGCUGUGCACACUCUCCAGCUUCCUUAGCUUCCUCAUCUGUACUCCUAUUUCUCAGAUUUGCUGUCUUCUCCCUUCCCUUGCAUGGUAUCAAUGUUGGCUGUGCACAUUGUGAACUCACCAAAAGUUGCUUUAGUUAGAAACAGAAGGCUUCAGUGUUUCUGGUUUCAUUACAAAGAAGCCAUGAAGCAUUCUCUUAACAGCCUCAGGACAAUUCCUUGGGUACCACGUAGCACAGGUCCAAGGACCACUCAGCGAUAGCCUGUCCUUUCUCCCCAGUCCCCGGGGAACAAAUUCUGCCACCCAGAAUGGAAGUAUAAUUGGCAACACAGACAGGGCACUAUGCGGUUCUCUUUGAUUCUUCUCAUGGUCCCUGAUUAUGGGAACUUCCUCCCCACUAUCUUGUCUCCUUGUACUGUUUUCAAGAUGUCAAAUCCCCCUCCUGGCACGAACCAUGGGGUAUCGGAUAGAAGUAGAAGAAGUUGUAUGAACUCAUAUUUAGCUUUACAUAGAUAGAGAAGGAUAUAUAUCUGUGCCUAUAUCUACAUCUAUGCCUGUGUCUAUAUCAUCUGCCUACACAUAUGGAUAAGCAUGUAUAAUAUGCAUAUACAGGGGUUAGUAUACACACUGAUAUUUCCUACCAUGAUCACUGAAUUGGUCCAGAAGCAAUGAAACCUCAGUAGCGACGAGCAUACUCAGGGCCCAGAUCUUGGUAUCUAAUCCCAUCCUCAAUGAGAAGAACCAGGGUUUCUUGGAGAAAUGGCUGAUUCUAGGGCUGGGGAGCGGAAUCCGUGAGAUGCGCCUGGAGCAUCUUAUAGUGUCAGAGUGGAAAGAAGUACUCAAAAAGCAAUAACGGGGGUAUGUCAAAGGGACACAGGAACCAACUGUAAGAGCUCCCAAUAGACAAAGCUGGAAUGGCUUGAAAAAAUAUAAAUAAUGUAGUAUUGGAUUAUAACCCAAAGUAUAAGAUAAAUAUUCAUUAUCCGGAUUUAAAUGAAUUCUGGAAUACAUAAAUUAAGUGGGGGAGAACAGACAAACCUCCUGUUUAGAGGAAUCCCAAAUAAUUUAUGUAAAUACUCCCCUUCAAGGAGAUGGGACAUAAUUCCCUGCCCCCUAAGGAGGGCUGCACAUGGGACUUCCUCUUAAUGAGUACAGUAUAGAGAGGGGGAACAAAAGGCGUAACUCUACAGUGGAGAGACCUGACACCACUACCUGAGCCAGGUCAUCAAGGUCGACCUCAACAGUGAUGAGUCGUGUUGAUGGCAUGUUAACAGCACAUAUCCUUGAUACCAUGUGAGCAUGGCACCUCGCCUCUGUGUUAGUCGUCUCCCAAGCCCAUAACCCUGGUCUAACCAUGAGAAGCAACGUCAGAUGAGCCCAACUUGAAGGACAUUCUACAAGAUUUCUGACCAGCACUCCUCAAAACGGUCAGGGUCACAGACAACAAGCAAAGUCUGCAGAACUGUCACAGUCAAGAGAAGCCUGAGAGACACGAUGACUAAAUGCAACGUGGUGUCCCGGAGGGAACCUGGAACAGAAAAACAGCAGUGGGUAAAAGCUGAGGAAAAGUGAAUAAAGUAUGUGGGUUUCACUCAAUUAUAAUGCAUCAAUACUAAUUUAUGAGUUAUGCAAAUUGUGCCAUGUUCACGUUAGUAAUAUGGGAAAUUGGGAGUGGGGUCUAGGAUAUCUCUCUCUAAUACUAUUACAACUUUUCUUUAAAUCUGAAAUUUACAGAAAUAAAAUAAACAAAAAGUUUAUUUUAAAUAAUCCCACCCCUGCUGCACCCCUGGGCAUUUCUUUUCUUUCUCCUGACCCUCUGUCUCCCAACACACUGGUCUGCACCCUGCACCUAGACGUGGGAGAAAUUGCUGGGACACAGACAGGCUGACUUGACAUCUCUCUGUAUUCAGUGUGGGGGCUCUUACUUGUUGGCAUGGGGAGCUGAAUACCAUUUCUGGUUUUCUAGCACCCUUUUUUCUCAGCUUAUCUUGUUUCGGAGGCAUUUUUAUUGGCUGUAAUGUGCUUGAGACACAGUUUGUUUACAGUCUGGAGGAGUUCUGUUAGUCUCUUGCUGCAGAAAGAGCCAGAAUGCACACCCUUGGGCCAGGGGCACGUUGCCCUCUGGGCAAGGAUGGUGGAGGCUUCUAGGGACUGUCACAUCUGAUUCUGACUGGACUGCGGUCCCCCUGAAAGGCAGCCGUGUCCCUCACCAUGGUCCCCUUUCUUCCCCAUCUACCUGCUCCAUGUGAUAAAGUAAAGCCUCUGUCUUCACUGGACUAUUCUCAUCUCCUUUUUCCUCCUCAUCUUCACGUUUUAACACUUUUCUACGAAUAAUAGGUUUACAGGGAUUGAUUAUAUGGUUACAUGGGCUACCUAGAGAGUUAGAACUUAAAAUUUUUAGAGUAAGAAACUGGUAAUAAGGCAUUUUGUCCAGAGAAGAGUCUCCGGAAUGAACCCCUUCCAGGUAAAAUAAAUAACGUACAAUGCCAGAAGCAGCCCAUGGGUGCCUCUGUGCAAAUCGGUAGGAGGCGCCUUCUCUAGGCAGCUGGAGUCCUGCAGGCAGUUGCGGUGGGGAGGACCAGGGCUGGGGUUCAGCCAGGCAGCCUUGUGCCAUAGACAAUCCACACUGCUAGUCACUGUGGCCACCAGUUACCUUCAGCCCCUUGCACUUGGGAGUCAUGACACAGGAAAGGCUAGAGAUGAAUGACAAAGAAAUAUUCACCUCCAGUCAUCAGGCUCCCGAAGGCCAGGCUAGGUGGCAUCACCUGUGUAGCAGAAGGAAGUUGUGUGUGUGUGUGUGUGUGUGUGUGUGUGUGUGUGUGUGUGUGUGUUUAUGGGAAGGUAUUUUGCCCAUGCAAUGUGAUCGAGGCCCAUGCAGGGUCCCAGCAAGCUGAGCUGGUCUCCUGGAAGGAGAAGAAUUGGGAGAGUCAGAGGCCAGAGAAGAACAAGAAGGCAGGUGGGCAGUGCCACUCGGAGGGGCUCACGGGAGCCGUGACCUGAGCCGUGACCUGAUCCCAGGUCCCUGGGCUCCCCACCCCCAGACCCACUGUCUCGAGGGCACUGUGUAGACCCUCCUCUUGCAGUGCCCUGACCUGUGUGGUGGGAGGAUCCAUGGGGCUGAGGAGACACCCCCACUUGCUGCUUGGACCCCCUUUCCUAGGCCUUGAGCUACGCACCUGAGACCUCAAACGUCCCUGCCCACAGGGCCCUGGGCUGGCUUCCAGGGCAGGCGCAGGCCUCUUCCCUGGGCCUAUGGGCAGGGUUGUGGACAGGACUUGGCCGUGUGGGCUGGGUAGCCCUCAUAGUCCCCUCUUAAUUUGGGACAGAGCUAGAAAAGGGAAAGGAGCCGGGAGAUGUGCUGGACCCACGCAUGUUAGGGUGGGCCUGCAUGCAGUGCCACUUGGGACCCCCAGCGCUACCAAGAGGAACUUGCAGAGGACUGGAGCUCCCACAUGUGGUGGUGGGAUGCCCUGGGCUCCUCAGGGGGACUCUCGGCUUCUGCCAUGGUUCACCCAGGCCAGCUCCCUGAAGUCUGCUCACCUGCAGCACCCAGGUGACUCUCUGCGAGUGAGCAGCAGAGUGAAGUCUGACCGGAGCCUGGGACCGAAUUUCCUGGGGAAAUGUGGGCUGAGUUACACAUAUACCUGUGCAGGCCUGGAGGUGGGGUCCUGACCCCUCCCCACCUAUCUGACACCUGAGUGGCGGGAACUGGCGCUCCUGCAGUGGCCCUGGAUGAAGGGGAUGGGAUGGUAUAUGGGACAGGGCUGCCCAUGGGAGGAUGACAAAAUGGUGUUGCUCUCCUGUCUUUCCAUCUUUGUCCUCUCCUUCUUCCCAUGCCUCUAGGCAGGCUCCGCCCUCUGAGGCUGGGGACUUGGGUGGCCUGGGCAGGGCGGGGCAGAGGUGUGUGGAAGAGAAAGGAUGACCUUCCUGAGCUGCUUUCCUGGGAGCAAACAGGGUGGGGCACUCCUAGGUGGGCCAGACCUCAGCCAUACACAGAGACCCUGGCUCCUGCUGGCAGGUGACAAGCAGUGCUCAGCAGCCUCGGAGAGAGGUACCUCCAUGCCUUGCUCAGCAACAUUUUGGACAAAAAUAUUUGUGGACCAUGAGCGAGACUGACAGAGAGAGCACAGAUGUUGGGGUCAGAAGGACCUGGGGCUGAAUUCUGGCCCUGGUGUUUCCCGUGUGCAACCUCGAGCAAAUGACUUUGCAUCUCUGUCUUAUUCAGCCUCAGUUUCUCCACCAGUGAAAUACCUUUGCACUCUUCCUCAUGUGAAUUAUGGCCAUCAGCGAUCUCAAAUUAUGUCCAUUUUUAAUAGAUCUCUUUUCAGGCCAUCAGUUUGUUUUUCUGUCCUUACUAUGAGCUCAGAUCCCAAGAACAGGUUGUUUUGUUUCUGGUUAUGAAAGCAAAGACCAGCUUUGGCAACAAAUAAGUAAACACGAGUAUGUUUUGUCACUGAGCUUGGCUCUAGAAAAUAACUUUAUAAUGUGUUAAAUCUCAUAAUGAUGACAAUGACUGUUAGAUAGAUAAACCAGGAUAUUGAAGACAGCAAUGUUAAUGUAACGUCUUAAUUUGUCAAUCACAAUUUUAUAGCCACUCAAAAGACACACAUAACAUCUAUCCCAGACACCAUCUAUAGAUUGAGCUUUGGGGCUAUUUGCUAUAUGUUGAUCAGACAACCAAAGUGAUUUCCCAAGUCCAAAUCUGGUCAUGUUCUCCACUCAAACAUCUCCAGUGACUGCCAUGGCCCAAAGGACCAAACCCAUGCUUGGCAGGCAAAACCAUAGCUGGUGUGAUCUGAACCUAUUUUCAGCAACCUCAUUGCCUACCUCCACAGCCCACUCCUUCCUUUCACCACAUCUCUGCCGCAGGAGAGGGGGUUUCACCACUUGAACACAUUCUGCCCACUCAGGCAUCUGGGCCCCUGCCUGUGCCCUCCUUCCUCUACUUCUUUGGAGAGCUUCUACGCAUUCUCCAAAACCUAGGACAGAUGCAUCUCUGUGAAGUGUUUCCCAGCUCCCCCAUGUGGAGCUGUGUGUUCCCUCUUCUUGCUCAUGGGUAGAACCCUUUACCUUCUCCUAUUAAUGCACUUACAGCAUUCUGUUGAAUAAAGGAGACAACAGACCCAUUCCCAUGUAUUUCAAUUUAUUUUUCCAUGAAAGGUGAUCAGUAGCGUGAUUUCUGGAGUCAGCCAGCCCUGGAUUCAAAUCCUAAUACUAUUGUUUCUGAAUGAUUUUAGCCAGAUUACUUAAUGUCUUGGUUUCCUCAACUGCUAAAUGGGAGUAAUAUUAACUUUAUAGAGCUGUGAGAAAGAUGAAGUAUGAAAUUAUGCCACAUAGUAUUGCAGGCACAAACAACUAUGGUUAUUGGACCAAGGGUUCAGGUUCUCUUUACAGAUCUGUCUAUGUCUAGCAACAUAUGGCUGUGAGACCAGCACCUUGGAACAGAGAUUCUUUUGGUGCAGAACCAAUCAGCCUGAGAGGUAGUCCUUUGACCUUGAUCCAAUUGGCACUUUGCUCAGCCUAAUUUCAUUUGAAGAUCAGAAGGAAGACUCAAGUAAAUCAAAUGUCUAGAGAAGUGAGAAAA